rnacentral:lncRNA from 1 species
GUCAGAUACAAGAUGGUAGAAUGGAUACACAAAAGUGAACUUUGGGAAUCAAGAGGUGGCCAAAUAGCAACCUGUGGGUUAGCUACCAGCAAACGUCUACUCUUGUGUUGGAUUCCCAACAUGGUAAGACUAUUUAGAUAAAGAUCGUAUUUAGAUAAAGAUUGCUUUCUGUUUCUGUUUUUACCAGCAGAGGUAAAUAUCAUUAAGAAUGUAAACAAUACUUCUCAAAGUAAUGUGUUCCCCAAACAAAUACAAAUGAUGCUUUUAAAUAAAUGACUGAGCUGGGCAUGGCGGUACACUCGGGAGGCUGAGGCAUUUGGAGGCAGGACAGAUACCCUUAGGUUUAAUCUCCUAGCACCUCCCUCAAAAAUAAAUAAAUAAAAAUGAGACUUUAGUAUUGCCUGGCAAUUUGAAUUACCCACUUUCUUUUUUAAGACAUGGCCACUUUCUUUUUUAAAUUUAUUUUUACUAUUUUCUUUUCUUCUUUCUUCUUCCUUUUGUUUGGUUGUUUCUUUCUUUUUAGGGCCUUUGUACUGAACCCCCUUAUUUGGAAACAGUAUCUCAUCAAGUUGCCCAGGCUGGCCUUGAACUUGCACUCUUUCUGCCUCAGUCUACUGAAUAAUGCACCACCUCCCCUGGCUGCCUUUGGGAUUUUUCAACUGUUACUUGAAUAGCUGAAAACAUAUUACCAUCUCUGUGUCCAGACUUCCAGACUGAGUUAUACAGGACAGUUCAUUGGAACCAGGAAAACAUUCAGUGGAUAUGGUGCCAACCCACCAGUGCUGCAGGGCCAACCUCAGGACCAGAUGAAACUGUGCCGAAUAAAAGAUGAAGAAACAGGAAAAACAGGACUUCCUUGAAAAUCACAAAAAAGGAACAUGACAUGUAAAAGCAAAACAAAUAAGACACAGAAACAUAAUUACUUCAGGAAAUAAAAACAAUAGACUAAAUUUCCUUUCUUUUCUCCAUGGAAUUAAAGUCAUGUGAAUGGAAAGGAGAGUUGUUAUGCUUAAGAAAUAAAUUAAAGGGUAAGACACAAUCAAUUUUGAAAUGAUAAUUACUUUAGAAGCAAAGAAUCAACUUUGAAAAAAAAGAUCAGAGGUAGGUAGGGUAGGCAUGAGAAGAAGCCACAGAUAAGUCAGUGAAAAAUUAAUUCAGAUCUCCUGGAAGUGGAGAUCCCAGUUGGCAAUGAUUUAUACCCUGGCAAAAGAAAAUCGAGUAUUAGCUGGAAUUUAAUAUGGUGCAUGAUUAUCUUAUAAACAUUCUGUUAUUCAAAACAAAAUGGCAAAGAAAGCAUGCGGGUUUUAAAAUUAUUUAUGUAAAGCUUAAAACACAA